rnacentral:tRNA from 1 species
GCGGAUAUGGCGGAAUUGGCAGACGCGCUGGAUUUAGGUUCCAGUGGGCAAGCCCGUGCAGGUUCAAAUCCUGUUAUCCGCA